rnacentral:rRNA from 1 species
CAGUAGCCGCGGGAAUACGAAGGGGGCUAGCGUUGCUCGGAAUGACUGGGCGUAAAGGGCGCGUAGGCGGCUUGUACAGUCAGAUGUGAAAUUCCUGGGCUUAACCUGGGGGCUGCAUUUGAUACGUGCGGGCUAGAGUGUGAAAGAGGGUCGUGGAAUUCCCAGUGUAGAGGUGAAAUUCGUAGAUAUUGGGAAGAACACCGGUGGCGAAGGCGGCGACCUGGUUCAUUACUGACGCUGAGGCGCGAAAGCGUGGGGAGCAAACAGGAUUAGAGACCCCAGUAGUCCCUGUCUCUUAUAC